rnacentral:rRNA from 1 species
CCUACGGGUGGCAGCAGUGAGGAAUAUUGGUCAAUGGGCGCGAGUCUGAACCAGCCAAGUAGCGUGAAGGAUGACUGCCCUACGGGUUGUAAACUUCUUUUAUUUAGGAAUAAAGUGAGGCUCGUGAGCCUUGUUGUAUAUGUACCAUGAAUAAGGAUCGCCUCUCUCCGUGCCAGCAGCCGCGGUAAUACGGAGGAUCUGCGCGUUAUCCGGAGUUAUUGGGUUUAAAGGGAGCGUAGAUGGGCUGUUAAGUCAGUUGUGAAAGUUUGCGGCUCAACCGUAAAAUUGCACUUGAUACUGGCAGUCUUGAGUACAGUUAGGGUAGGCGGAAUUCGUGGUGUAGCGGUGAAAUGCUUAGAUAUCACGAAGAACUCCGAUUGCGAAGGCAAGUGACCGGGGUGCAACUGACAUUGAUGCUCGAAAGUGUGGGUAUCAAACAGGAUUAGAUACCCGUGUAGUC